UGCUUGGGAGGAUGCGCUCUGCCUCUUCCUCGCAAAGCAAAAGGAACAUGUGCAGUGCGGCGGACGGCUGCUGGGCAACGAUACCUGCACCUGGUGCUCUACCCAGCAUGGACCGUCAAGUUGCUGGGAUUGGUGGUGGGUGUUGGUCAUACCUUGGUAUAUAUGCUUGGCACUAUUUGGAGUCAAAAUUACGAACGUCCACUGCCGAUCUAUUUGGUAUUUUGGUGCAUGUCUUCCCCCGGCCCAGGUAAGAAGGUACUCCAAUUUUGAUGGUGCAAUUUUCUUUGUCUAUGACUUUUGGAUGCUCCCCAUUUAUCAGUAAUUAUAAUCAGGGAGUCCCAUCAUAGAUCCACUCUGCAAUACCAUGAAAUAUCUUUUAUGGACCUUACAGUUGUGUUGGUAAACUAAAUUGGGAACUCCCUACAAGUCAGAAGCUAAUCUUGUGUUAUGUGUUGUCAAUGUUCAGUUUCUGUACUGGUUUCUACAGUAAUUAGUCAUCUUAACUCAGGUGCAUUGCAAAGUGUUACGCUUAAUAUGACGAUUUCAUUAGUUUUCCAUUUUAAAUCGCUAAAAUGUGCUAUUUUAUUUUCAUCCUUCAAAUGUACAAGAUAGUAGAAUUGUGAUAAACCUCUUACUAGGCUCUAUUAAGAUGCAGCAACUACAUCAGUUUGUAUUUAAUACACAAACAUGGGUUUUGAGCUUUUGCCCCUACUGUGGCUGCACUUUCCUUCUUGUACUGCCAUGUAGCAGCAACAUCACAUUUUAUGUCAAGCAACCUACAAAAUGAUGCAACCAUUGGGCUAUAAAAUGAAGGAAUUGUAAAUGCAUUUUUUUCCCGUACAGCCGAAAGAAAAACGAUCCCAGCAUCAAAUGCAUUUUUUUUUCCAGAACAAAUGCCUGAAACAUUCUUUCCUGCUUAGGCCUGGCUGGCUCUGACCUGAUUAGUGGCUGGCCAUACCCUAUUCUGUUCACUCAGCAGUGUUGUCACUCAGUUUGACAGCCAUAGUCAAGACAAUCUUCCCAAGUAUGUCGAAGCAGAGCAGUGGCAGUCUG
rnacentral:lncRNA from 1 species